CUGCUCACUUCGGCAGCACAUAUACUAAAAUUGGAACGAUACAGAGAAGAUUAGCAUGGCCCCUGCGCAGGGAUGACACUUUGAUUUUAAAACUUUUCCUUAUGCUU